GCCUCGAUAGCGCAGUAGGAAGCGCGCGAGUCUCAUAAUCUCGAGGUCGUGAGUUCGAACCUCACUCGGGGCA
rnacentral:tRNA from 1 species